CCUACGGGCGGCAGCAGUGAGGAAUAUUGGUCAAUGGGCGGAAGCCUGAACCAGCAAAGUAGCGUGCAGGAUGACGGCCCUACGGGUUGUAAACUGCUUUUAUACGGGAAUAACGCGCCUUACGUGUAGGGCUUUGCAUGUACCGUAUGAAUAAGGACCGGCUAAUUCCGUGCCAGCAGACGCGGGAAUAAGGAAGGUCCGGGCGUUAACCGGAUUGAUUGGGUUUAAAGGGGGCGUAGGCCGCAUGUCAAGCGUGCUGUGAAAUGUCCGGGCUCAACCCGGGCCGUGCAGCGCGAACUGGCGUGCUUGAGUCCGCGGAAAGCAGGCGGAAUUCGUCGUGUAGCGGUGAAAUGCUUAGAUAUGACGAAGAACCCCGAUUGCGAAGGCAGCUUGCUGCAGCGGAACUGACGCUGAUGCUCGAAAGCGCGGGUAUCGAACAGGAUUAGAUACCCCGGUAGUC
rnacentral:rRNA from 1 species